CCUGCCCCCUCCCCCGGGAUAGCCGCCCGAAAGGACGGGUAAUACCGGAUACCCCCGGGCGCCGCAUGGCGCCCGGGCUAAAGCCCCGACGGGAGGGGAUGGCUCCGCGGCCCAUCAGGUAGACGGCGGGGUGACGGCCCACCGUGCCGGCAACGGGUAGCCGGGUUGAGAGACCGACCGGCCAGAUUGGGACUGAGACACGGCCCAGACUCCUACGGGAGGCAGCAGUGGGGAAUCUUGCGCAAUGGGGGGAACCCUGACGCAGCGACGCCGCGUGCGGGACGGAGGCCUUCGGGUCGUAAACCGCUUUCAGCAGGGAAGAGUCAAGACUGUACCUGCAGAAGAAGCCCCGGCUAACUACGUGCCAGCAGCCGCGGUAAUACGUAGGGGGCGAGCGUUAUCCGGAUUCAUUGGGCGUAAAGCGCGCGUAGGCGGCCCGGCAGGCCGGGGGUCGAAGCGGGGGGCUCAACCCCCCGAAGCCCCCGGAACCUCCGCGGCUUGGGUCCGGUAGGGGAGGGUGGAACACCCGGUGUAGCGGUGGAAUGCGCAGAUAUCGGGUGGAACACCGGUGGCGAAGGCGGCCCUCUGGGCCGAGACCGACGCUGAGGCGCGAAAGCUGGGGGAGCGAACAGGAUUAGAUACCCUGGUAGUCCCAGCCGUAAACGAUGGACGCUAGGUGUGGGGGGACGAUCUCCCCGUGCCGCAG
rnacentral:rRNA from 1 species